rnacentral:rRNA from 1 species
UACGGAAGGUGCAAGCGUUGUUCGGAAUGACUGGGCGUAAAGAGCACGUAGGCGGUCUCGCAAGUCGGAUGUGAAAUCCCUGGGCUUAACCUGGGAACUGCAUCCGAAACUGCUUGACUUGAAUGCUUGAGAGGUUGGUGGAAUUCCAGGUGUAGGAGUGAAAUCCGUAGAUAUCUGGAGGAACAUCGGAGGCGAAGGCGGCCAACUGGCAAUGCAUUGACGCUGAGGUGCGAAAGCGCGGGGAGCAAACAGG